AGUGGAACUGCUGGGUCAUAUGGUAAUUCUAUGUUUAGCCUUUUGAAGAAAUGCCAAACUGUUUUCCAAAGCAGUGGCACCAUUUUACAUUCCCACUAGCAGU
rnacentral:pre_miRNA from 1 species